rnacentral:lncRNA from 1 species
AAGUGCUCAGUGCAAGCCAUGGAUGAGAAGAAAUGAAUUGAUUUUCCUAUCUCUUUAAUGGCCUGCCAGAUUAUGCUAAAAGAAGAAGAGUGACACCGAGGACAGAGAAAGAUUUAGAGUGCUCAAAGGAAAGGUAAGGAACCAAGAGGGGCCAUGCAGAAGGCGGGAACAAGAGUCAGAAGGAGCAGAGAAGAGAGAAGAAAACAACAACAACAACCCAGGGGGGUGGGGAGAUGGCUCAGCAGUUGAGAGCUCUAGGUACUCUUCCAGAGGACCCUGGUUCAGUUCCCAGCAGCCACAUGGAAGCUCACAACGGUCUGCAACUCCUGGUCCAGGGGAUCUGACCCCUCCCACAGGCAGACAAACAUGCAUGCAAAGCAUCAAUGUACAUGAAAUAAAAAUAAAUUAUAAAAAUAAAAGAGAGCGAGAGACUCAAAAUAAAGGGACUGUUUGAAAACUGAAUAUAGCAUUUGCCAUAAAUGUAGAAACUUUGCAAAAUGUAGUGACUCUGGCCUUUAUACAAAAAUUGAGAAACUGAGGCAGGAGAGUUGCAAAGUAAAUAUUUCAAGUUUAUCCUGAACAUUUUUAAAGGGCUUUUUACAAAAACAAACUGUAAAUAAUACACUAAUACUUAAUUAAACUAUAAACUUUAACUUUUAACAUCUGUAGUUAAUAGUACUAUAGGUUAAAAUAUGAUAGCAUCCAUAGUUACAUGAACGUAUUGUGUACUUUUGUUUAUCCUGUUGUAUUCUGGGAGUGCUAGGCAAGAUGGCUACCACUUAACCACCCUCCCUAGCAUUUUUGGUUUAUUUUAUUCCAAGCUAUGAAAACAAUUCUUCUACAGGACUCUGUUUUUAUUCAUAACAAAAGUAAUUUUUGUUUACACUCAGUGUAUUGCUAGGGAAAAUAAUAUCAAUUGAUUGUUUUACCCAUGGAUACAUCUUUCAGUGUGGAUAAGGGAUUCAAGCAACACUGCUUUGCAUUGAACAAAGAAAGAUCAGACUAGGUGAUAGUUCAUAGUAACUCUUAGGUUGGUCACUACAGAGCCACAGACUUCAAUAUUUAUGUCUCUGUUUCACUGUAGCUGUGUUUAACAUAUCUAUAAAAGAUGCUUUGAUUAUUGAAUUGCUGGGCACAUGAGAGUACUGAACCAUACACUAGACUUCAUGCACCACUGUCCACCUUUCCCUGUCUCUGGAGGCAUCCUGGGUGGCUAAUAAGCAGAGGCCUAUGUAAGGGAUGAGACUCUACAGAUGGAUCUGCAUAGCCAUACCAGUUACCUUUCCCUUUAACAAAAUGACUGACCGGAAUCUAGUAAUCAAGCUAGCAUGGGGAAGGGCUUUGGCAUCUUCUAUAAUUCUGUCUGAGGUGUCUUUACUUCCUAGCACCCAGCAAAUAACCUAGGGAAAACUGAGUGCUAAGAUUCUCAUAGGGCACAUAGACCAAUUGAUAAGAAACUGCAGAUCUCACCCUCCUCCUGAUAGCUAAGAGGCACAGGUUUGGAGGUCUGCUGGUGUAGACUGCCCUUUGGGGAGAAGAUUCACAUUCCAAAAGUAUAGAUUUUUGCCCCAGUUGAAGAAAAGUGUUUUUUUGAUUGUAUCAAUUCUUUCUUCUCUGUCAUACCCUAAUUCUGGUUGCUGUGUUUCUUCCCUUUCUUUUUUCCUUAGUUCAACUGUCAACAUCUCAGAGAAGCAUUCCUGACCACAAAGGCAUUUGGCGUUGCCUUAGGAGUCUCCAAGUUAGACUUUGAUUAUUCUCCAAACCCUCAAAAAAAACAUUGCAGUAGUUUAUUUAUUUGUUUUCUGUCUGUUACUUUCAGUGGCAUGUAAGCACUAUGCAGGAAUAUUUCAUCCAAAUGAAACAUACUCAGAUUUUACACUGGAAUGAAAUAGCUGGCCUCCCAAAUAAAAUAUUAACUGAAUACAUAAAUGGCUCCAUGGAGGUAGCAAGAAGAAUAGGCAAACCAGUGUGCAAGCAAGAUGUGAUGGAAAGAGUUUUGAUUGGAAGAGUAGAGUCUAAUAACUUCAUUUUAUUAAUUAAAUUGGCUAAUAAAAUGGAGAAUGAAUAAAAAGAGCCUGUGACACAAAUACUCUAAGCUUCUCUUUUAAGUUACAUAGAAAAGAUAUUUCUAUUUCAAAUGUCUGAAGUUUCAUACCAAACACCCAUAAAUUAUUUCAGUUCUAUCUGGAGUAAGAAACAGACAAAUGGACCACAUUUUCUUGACAAAGAAACUUGGAAAAUCCAGGGACAAAUGUGCAUUAGCAAGUUCAAUGUAACCAAAGACUGGAGACUGCUGGCGUUGCCCCUAAGACCAGCUUUGAACCAGCCACAUGCUAACUUGAGUGGCUACCUACAGCAUUGACUUCACUGCCAGCUUCAUCUUUAAUUAGGAGAAUACUCCUGAACAUUUACAGAAACUUGAAUCCACAGCACUGUACAUUUAAUUAUCUAAAAAAUUAGAGAGAAAGAUAAGUGUUAAGAUUCCUCAGAGAAACACAACUAAUAUAUACAUGGAUGGUGCUGUUUAAUGUUGUGUCUCUGACAAAAUAAAUUUUUAAAAUCUAUUAUGCUCUAUGACACAGAGCUGACUUCUCAAUCAAAAUCAUAAGCAGAAUUAGAAUGGUUUAAACUAUAUUUGAAACUGUAUAGAAUUUCUAUCUUUAAAUGUAGGGUUUCUUAAGAUACCAAAAACAAAUGAAAUAUAAAUUGGGAACAGAGUACAUCCUAGAAUAAUUAGUUAUAGUACUAACCUACCAUUUAGCUUCCUUCCCUAUUAGAAAAAAAAAAAAAGCUUUUCAUAGAAGUUGCUAUAACCAGUGGCUCUACUCAUUGUUCUAUAUCAUAUUACUAUUCUUCAGACCCUUUGUUAACAAAAAAUAACAUGUUCCCCCAAAACACUCAAUAUACCUAUAGAUUAAGUGAUUGUGGAAGCUCGGUUUUUCCCAAAGCAAGCUUUGGUCAUUAUGAUUCAUUUUUACAUACUAAUUUUUCUAUGCUGUUAACUUCCUUUUUAAAAUUGUUACAAAGCCUCAUACAUUAUAUAUAAUUGUAUCAAAACACAUAAUAUUGCCAUGUAAAUUGGAUUGUCAAGUAAAAUGUAAUAAUCUUUGACCUUACCCCAGCCAUUGACAUCAAUUUAAAAAAAAUAUGCCUACAGGCUUUUAAACCAUACAACUUCCUAAUGUAAAGAACAUAUCUCUUUAGAAAACUCCCUGUUACAAGUCUCUUACUACCUGUUUACUGAGUACAAAAUUGUGAUCGCUGUUACUCACUUUUAAAAGCCCAUGCAUAUACAUGUGCACAUAUAUGUAUACAUAUAUAGCCUACAAUUAAGUAUAGUGAUGGUAUUAUUUUG